rnacentral:rRNA from 1 species
UACGUAGGAUCCGAGCGUUGUCCGGAAUUACUGGGUGUAAAGGGUCUGCAGGCGGGCAAACAAGUCGGUGGUGAAAUCCUAUAGCUCAACUAUAGAACUGCCUCCGAUACUGUUUGUCUUGAGUUCGAGAGAGGGUAAUGGAAUUCAUGGUGUAGCGGUGAAAUGCGUAGAUAUCAUGAAGAACACCGGUUGCGAAGGCGAUUACCUGGCUCGACACUGACGCUCAGGGACGAAAGCGUGGGGAUCAAACAGGAUUAGAUACCCUUGUAGU